ncrna:Lachnospiraceae bacterium oral taxon 082 str. F0431 pemK RNA
ACAAUGAUACUUCCUUACAGCCAUAGUCCGAGCGUUAAGAGCGUCGCAGGCAAUGGGUAGGGCUGCAUGAGAACCAUGCCGGGGUGAAAUUCCCAUGA